UCCCAUUAUCAUCCAGGGUUAAAAAAUCGGUUUCUCUUAAACAAAACGAGAAAAUGGAGCGCGUGGCAGCCAAAAUUUUAGAGAAGGAUGGCGGCAUCGCGAAAUUUUCCCCACCUGGAUAACCCUAAAUCCUCCACAGCGCCGCCACUCUCCGUUUUGUAUCUCAGAUCCAAUCGAGUCCCACCACCGCUAUCCUCUUCCAUCGUUGUAUCACCGCUCCUAGCCCUCGCUGCCACCAGGUUAUCCCCCUCCUUCCUCCGUGCAUCUGAGACGAGCGGACGGUGGCGAAGUGAAUCAAGACUGGGCAACAGGAGGACAAUGGCGAAGUGAUGGACUCCCCCCCCCCCCCCCCCCCCGCGCCGGUGACUGGACCUUGCGCGCGCGGUCGGUGGUGUGAUGGCGGCCGGCAUAUCUCCGCCGCCUCUCUCCCCCCGCCGACGACGACGCGUAUUCCAGCACCCCUCUAGCCCCUAUAGGCCUGCCGGAACCUUGCCCAGGCGAUGGGUCACCUGGUGGACGUCCUCGAUCCUUGGCAGCGCAAGCAGUACUGGUCGUCUGUAGGUGCCGGACGGCCCAAAUAUCGCCACCACUAGAUCCAUCUGCCCCUGUCGUUGCUGCCGCAUUGCCAUAUCUCGUAAUUCGCAGUUGCCGUCGCCAUCUUAUUUUCUCCGGAUGCUCUGCCGUCCUGUGAAUCCCUCCCUUUAUUUGUGCAAUAAAUACUCUGAUUUUUGCUGCUCUGUCUGCCUCAUCUUGCAGCACGACACCUUUGGACAUGGGGGUGGCAAGAUGGAGUCCCGACUACUGCUGUCGUCGCCUUGAGCUUGCUUGCCCUUGAUGGAAGAACCACAAGCGGGACUGCCACGGGUUGCUCGCUCUCACCAAACCAGACCAACAUCUUCAAGUUAUCAUUGUAAGCACCCCCUUCCUCCUCCUGUUGCUACUAAAAUCAAUCUGUACACAUGGGUUUCAUUGUCUAGGUGAGUGCUCGGGUUGCUGUGUUGGUAUCGGGGCAAGGUGGGAAACUUUAGUAUGUGAUAGUUGGAUCAGUAGGUGUCCGUAGAAGUGUCUGUCGGCAGAAAAUGGUUUCAGCAGUAGAGUGACUGAUUGCUUAGCAGUUGGGUCGACCUAUAUUUUGUGGCACAACACUGACUUUGUGUAGCUGUUGAUUCUAAAAGCCAAAUAUAUCAUGCCUUCUGGACCUUACAUAUAUAUUUCUAGCAUACUGAUGAAUUCAGUGUCAUAUCAAAUAUGACAUCAACCCCUUUUGGUAGUUCCAUGUUACUAAAUGAUAUCCUGUCAUGUAGACUUGCAGAUUAACAUUGUCGAGUAGCAAUUUGUGUUGAAAGGCUAGAACUAGACGCUGGGAGAUAUGUGCGUUCGUUUGUGCCAUCCUCACUGUCGUCGUGCGCAAGGACCCUAGGCAUCCCAUGUAUGUGGCCAAGGUGACCACGCCUCUUGCAGCUUUGUUUGUGCCAUCCUCACUGUCGUCGUGCGCAAGGCCCUAGGCAUCCCAUGUAUGUGGCCKAAGGUUGACCACGCCUCUUGCAGCUUUGUUUGUGCCAUCCUCACUGUCGUCGUGCG
rnacentral:lncRNA from 1 species